rnacentral:rRNA from 1 species
ACUCAAAUGAAUUGACGGGGGCCCGCACAAGCGGUGGAGUAUGUGGUUUAAUUCGAUGCAACGCGAAGAACCUUACCAGGGCUUGACAUCCCGGGAACCUUGCUGAAAGGCAGGGGUGCCCUUCGGGGAGCCCGGAGACAGGUGGUGCAUGGCUGUCGUCAGCUCGUGUCGUGAGAUGUUGGAUUAAGUUCCGCAACGAGCGCAACCCUCGUUGCCUGUUGCCAGCACGUUAUGGUGGGCACUCAGGCGAGACUGCCGCAGCAAUGUGGAGGAAGGUGGGGAUGACGUCAAGUCAGCAUGCCCCGUACGCCCUGGGCUACACACAUACUACAAUGCGAGGAGCAAACAGUUGCGAAGCCGCGAGGUGGAGCUAAUCUGAGAAUGCCUCGCUCAGUGCAGAUUGCAGGCUGCAACUCGCCUGCAUGAAGGCGGAAUCGCUAGUAACCGUCGGUCAGCAUUACGACGGUGAAUACGUUCCCGGGCCUUGCACACACCGCCCGU